rnacentral:pre_miRNA from 1 species
GGUUGUGGGAUGGAGUCACUGGAGGCAGCGGUUCAUCGAUCUCUUCCUGAGAUUUUUGUCUGUGGAAAAAAAGAAACACAAAAACAUGAAUAGGUCGAUAAACCUCUGCAUCCAGCGCUCACUCACUAUC